UCUGCAUCUAUUAGCACAUGGCUGUGCUGCAGCUGCUACUGAGCUUUCCCUGUACUGGUCUUGUUUUGGGCUAGUAGCUUUGCAAAUUUGUGGACCCAUGAAUGAUGUCCUGAUUGUGGAGUUAGUGAAACUAGAUGUUGCUGUGUGAAUGUUUUAGUGCAGAUCACAUGCUGAAUUCUAAAAAUAUGCUCCAAGGAAGGAGGAAGUGAAAGGGAAAAUGAGUUUGUAAUCCUCUAAUUCUUUUAACACCCUUUUUUGUUAUGUUCAGCCAUCCCUUGCUUUGCUUUGUUUGAAUCAGGCUCCUAAGCAUUUUACAGCAAAGUUACUCACUCUGAGUUUUGGAUGAACCUCAGCUGGGAGAUGAUUCACUUACCCAAAGUAUAUGCUUCCCUACCAGUAUGUCUUUUGAGGAAUGUCAGUGCCUGAAAAACCUGUAGCAACACAAGAGAAGGUCAUGGAAACCCCAGUGACUUCCAGAUGCCCUGUGAAUGGGAAAACUUCAAGGGGAGACAGUCACACCUUUUCCCUACCCAAAGACUCCACAGCUUUUUUAAAAUGAGCAUAAAACUCAUUAUGGCACUGGCCUCUUAGCUUACUAAAUAGCAUCAGACUUAGACUUUAAACUCACAAAUUACUUUUAAAAAAAAAAACCUCAAUAUAACAUUGUUCGCUCAUUGGACCAUUAUACUGAAUCUCACACUACUGCCUUGUAAAGUAAUAUGGGUCUGCAUUGUAGUGGUCACCGUGGCCUUUCUGAUUGUGAAGAUAACUUUGAAAACAGAAACCAAACAUCAGCCAAAACAGGCUUACCUUCCACAUCUGCAAGCAGCCUGAAAAAAAGCUCCGAGAAUGUUAUGAAUGAGGUCAGGAGAUUGGACAAAACUGCCUCUGUUUCAUGAAUAGUUUUGGUUUAGAUUAAUCAGCAAAAAAAAAGUUUGUAAAAUUUCUAACCAGCUCUAUUCACAAUCAACAUGGAUUCAGGCACUCCACUUUGAAAUGUUGGCCUUUGUAUGUACUAUGAGCCCAGGGCCUCAGGUGAUGUAAAUUGGUACAGCUUUGUAGUUGAGAAUUGAGUCCUGUACAUUUUAGAGUUUUCCAUUUGUUGUAAGUUACUGGGGGGUGGGGGGGGAGAACUUCUAUAUUAAUUGAAUCCAAAAAUCUAUGUUCAAGAACAUUAAAGUGGCAAAGCCAAGCACUCAAGAGACACAAAAUGCCAGAAAUAAGGUUGCCCAUGAAACCUUAGUUCAGCCCUUUGGUACGUACAUAUUAUGAUACAGUCUUUUUGCACAGACCCCCUGCCUCAAAAUAUGCUACUGGAUGUUAUAAAAACCUGUAAAUGAAAUAGAACUAGAAUAAUCUCUAGAUCAGUGGUGGGCAACCUGCGGCCCAUUGGCUGCACAUGGCCUGUCAGGGGAAUCCACUGGUGGGCCGCAAGACUGUUUGUUUACAUUGACCAUCUGCAGGCAUGGCCGCCCGCAGCUCCCAGUGGCCGUGGAUUACCGUGACUGGCCGCAGGUCACCCAGCACUGCUCUAGAUAUUGACCCUAGCAGUUGAGUAUUUGAGCAGGUAACCUGAUAAAAUUUAAUCCUUUUGUAACUGGUGAAGUUGGUUAUUUAAAUUGGAUUUUUUUCUUUGUUUCAACAGUCAUUAAUGAGCAUUAUUUUAAUUAUAUUUUUUAUUAGGGUUUUCCCCCGUGGUAUCCAGGUCCUUCUGUUCCCAUAAUGCUGAAUGGCUCUUACAUGCUUCAUUCAAUGCAGAGAUGCCCAUGUACAAUUGUGCAACUCCUUUGCACCACACCAGUGGCACAAAGCAGCCAAAAAGCUGGUGGCUCACCCCAGCGUAGAAACAAAAUUCCAUGACAUACAGUAAGCAUAAUGUAGCCCUUAGGCCAACCAUAUCUAGUCUGAGGCCAGAGCCAGGAAAAAAAGAAUGCAGCUGGGUGUUUUUAUGAGCCACCAAUCUAUCAUGUUGACCUCUUGGGGUUACUGUCAGCUGAAGUAAUUCAGAGUAGCUUCACCAGGUUUUGGCUGGUAAUAGAGCCACCAUUGUACUAUGCCCUCCCUGAACUGUGAACUCCUUACCCAGAGCUGUGGAUUUAUGCAAGUACGUUAUUUUACUGGAAUGUCUUGUGUUUCUCAGUGCUUUGUGUAUUGCAUGUUUUUAUGAAUCAUUCUACUGAUCUUUGGAAAAACUGCUUAAGGCAUAAUUUUUUUUUUUUUAAAUUGAAGACUCCUGAUUAAAAAUCAGCAUAUAGAAAUAUCAAGCCCUAAGCGACAUGUUCCAGGUCCCACAGGAAGUCAAUGGUAGAGUUAGGAACUGAACCUACAUCUCCUGAUGCACAGUCCUGUGCCGUAACCACAAGUCCUUCCUUCCACUUCAUAAGCUGGCUAUUUACACGUCAAAUCUCUCUAAUUUACAAAGCUCUGGUGGCUAUCCAUCAUCAUGGUAACAGCAUUCAGGAUAUUGGACAACCAGCCGUGCAGAAGGUGAUGUGGAUCUGCAGGAUUGUUAGCCUUGUGCCUAACCCCCAACCUGGAGGACCAGGGUGUCUGUUUUGUCUGACCCCUCCCCACUGACCAAUCUGGCAUGAUUGACCCUACCAGGAGCAAAAAGCCCCUGCCGACACAGACUCUGGGGAUCGUUAGAGCAUGCAAGCUGUGCCGCCAUGACAAGGCACAGACACCAGAGGACAGGAAAGGUAUACAGUGACCGGCUAAAUGGUUUGGAAAAGGACUUAAAAUGAAGUUUUCAUUAAAGGAACGAAUGGGGGGCAGUUGGGGACUCGUGUGAUUGGUACGGCAGGAAGCCAACCCCCCAUUCUUAUAGCUCACCUUAACCCUUCUACGAGGAAGGGGUGGAUGGUAAGGUCCUGGCAAUGGAUUUGCCAGAGGGACAUGGAUGGAAAAAGAGAGGGAGCUGGUAAGAGCCCCCCAGGUAAUUAUGGAAUAAACAUGGGGUUACCUGCACUGUACACUGGUAUCUGCCGGGUAGUCCCAGACAUCUAAUAAUAAAGU